UACGGAGGGUGCAAGCGUUGUCCGGAUUUAUUGGGUUUAAAGGGUGCGUAGGCGGCCCGGUAAGUCAGUGGUGAAAGCCUCCAGCUCAACUGGAGAACUGCCAUUGAUACUGCCGGGCUUGAGUACAGACGAGGUUGGCGGAAUUGAUUGUGUAGCGGUGAAAUGCGUAGAGAUCGGAAGGAACACCAGUGGCGAAGGCGGCUACCUGGACAAAUACUGACGCUGAGGCGCGAGAGCGUGGGGAGCAAACAGG
rnacentral:rRNA from 1 species